rnacentral:tRNA from 1 species
GGGCUUGUAGCUUAAUAGUAGAGCACCCGCCUUGCACGCGGGAGAUCGGGGUGCGAUUCCCCGCAGGUCCA